UCUUGGUCAUUUAGAGGAAGUAAAAGUCGUAACAAGGUUUCCGUAGGUGAACCUGCGGAAGGAUCAUUACCGAGUUUUAGGGUCUGCGUUGUCCGAGUCAUCGGCGCGCGCCCGAAUCUCCCAACCCUUUGUUUAAUUGACCUACGUUGCUUCGGCGGACCGUGUCCUCCCUUUUCACGAAGGGAGGGCCGCCGGAUGGCCCCCUUUACCGGGGGACGUCUGGAGAGUCUUGUCCGCCGAUGGCCAACCACAAAUUAAAACUCUUGUACCUAAACGUGUCGUCUGAACAAAAACUAUUUUUGAUUGUAUAAUCAUAAAACAAAACUUUCAACAACGGAUCUCUUGGUUCUGGCAUCGAUGAAGAACGCAGCGAAAUGCGAUAAGUAAUGCGAAUUGCAGAAUUUCCGUGAGUCAUCGAAUCUUUGAACGCACAUUGCGCCCAUUGGUAUUCCGAUGGGCAUGCCUGUUCGAGCGUCAUUAUCCUCCCUCAAACCUCGUGUUUGGUGUUGGGCGAGAAAAAAAGAUUUCUUCUUUUCCGCCCCAAAGACAAUGACGGCGUCUGUUGGGACCCUCGGUGCAACGAGCUUCUUCGGAGCACGCACUGCAGUGGUUUCCUUCGGGCUGGUCUCAACCCUUUUAAUUUACCAGGUUGACCUCGGAUCAGGUAGGAAUACCCGCUGAACUUAAGCAUAUCAAUAAGCGGAGGAA
rnacentral:rRNA from 1 species